AGUGAACGCUGGCGGUACGCCUAACACAUGCAAGUCGAACGGCAGCACAGUAAGAGCUUGCUCUUACGGGUGGCGAGUGGCGGACGGGUGAGGAAUACAUCGGAAUCUACUUUUUCGUGGGGGAUAACGUAGGGAAACUUACGCUAAUACCGCAUACGACCUACGGGUGAAAGCAGGGGAUCUUCGGACCUUGCGCGAUUGAAUGAGCCGAUGUCGGAUUAGCUAGUUGGCGGGGUAAAGGCCCACCAAGGCGACGAUCCGUAGCUGGUCUGAGAGGAUGAUCAGCCACACUGGAACUGAGACACGGUCCAGACUCCUACGGGAGGCAGCAGUGGGGAAUAUUGGACAAUGGGCGCAAGCCUGAUCCAGCCAUACCGCGUGGGUGAAGAAGGCCUUCGGGUUGUAAAGCCCUUUUGUUGGGGAAGAAAAGCAGCAGGUUAAUACCCCGCUGUUCUGACGGUACCCAAAGAAUAAGCACCGGCUAACUUCGUG
rnacentral:rRNA from 1 species